UACGAAGGACCCAAGCGUUAUCCGGAUUUAUUGGGUUUAAAGGGUGCGUAGGCGGAUUAUUAAGUCAGUGGUGAAAGCCUUCAGCUUAACUGAAGAACUGCCAUUGAUACUGAUGAUCUUGAAUAUGAUUGAGGUGGGCGGAAUGUGUCAUGUAGCGGUGAAAAUGCUUAGAUAUGACACAGAACACCGAUUGCGAAGGCAGCUCACUAAGCCAAUAUUGA
rnacentral:rRNA from 1 species